CCUACGGGAGGCUGCAGUGAGGAAUAUUGGUCAAUGGGCUGACGCCUGAACCAGCCAAGUCGCGUGCGGGAAGAAUGCCCUAUGGGUUGUAAACCUCUUUUGUCAGGGAGUAAUAGGCGCUACGUGUAGCGUUAUCGAGAGUACAUGCAGAAAAAGCAUCGGCUACCCCCGUGCCAGCAGCCGCGGUAAUACGGAGGAUGCGCGCGUUAUACGGAUUUAUUGGGUUUAAAGGGUGCGUAGGCGGAAUGCCAAGUCAGUGGUAAAAUCGCGGGGCUCAACCGCGCUCAGCCGUUGAAACUGGCGGUCUUGAGUGGGCAAGAGGUAUGCGGAAUGCGUUGUGUAGCGGUGAAAUGCAUAGAUAUCACGCAGAACUCCGAUUGCGAAGGCAGCAUGCCGGCGCCCAACUGACGCUGAAGCACGAAAGCGUGGGUAUCGAACAGGAUUAGAUACCCUUGUAGUC
rnacentral:rRNA from 1 species